GACGAACGCUGGCGGCGUGCCUAAUACAUGCAAGUAGGACGCAGUUGCGAACGGGUGAGUAACGCGUAUGUAACUACCUAUUAGAGGGGGAUAACUAUUGUAAACGAUAGCUAAUACCGCAUACUCGUAGAUGGACCUGCGUUGUAUUAGCUAGUAGGUGGGGUAAUGGCCUACCUAGGCAACGAUACAUAGCCGACCGUAGAGGGGGAUCCGCCCACAUGGGACUGAGACACGGGCCAGGCUCCUACGGGAGGGAGCAGUAGGGAAUCUUCGGGAAUGGGGGGAACCCUGAACGAGCAAAGCCGCGGGAGUGAAGAAGGUUUUCGGAUCGUAAAGCUCUGUUGUUAAGGAAGCGGUACUUAACCAGAAAGGGACGGCUAACUACGUGCCAGCCGCCGCGGUAAUAC
rnacentral:rRNA from 1 species